rnacentral:rRNA from 1 species
UACCCGCUGAAUUUAAGCAUAUAAGUAAGUGGAGGAUCCGAAACCAAAUGGGAAUUCUUUAGUAAUGGCGAAUGAACAGGAAUAAGCCUAGUGUGGAAAUUGAGGUCGAUGACCUUGACUUGUUUUCUUCAGAUGCAAUUCCAGCAAAGGUGCACAUAUAGAUGUUUUGGAACAGGAUUUCGGGGAAGGUGACACACCUGUGUGAGGUGUGUGGUCCAUUGUAUACGGGGUGUGUUAUAUGAGUCACGUUCCUUGGAAUUGGAAUGCAAAUUUGGUGGUAAUUUUCAUCCAAGGCUACUUAUGAAUGUGAAACCGAUAGCAAACAAGUACCAUGAGGGAAACAUGAAAAGGACUUUGAAAAGAGAGUA